rnacentral:tRNA from 1 species
GCGAGUAUGGUGGAAUUGGCAGACACGUGCGUUUAAGGGGCGCAUGGGAGACCGUAUCGGUUCAAGUCCGAUUACUCGCA